rnacentral:rRNA from 1 species
GAUGAACGCUGGCGGCGUGCCUAAUACAUGCAAGUCGAGCGAACAGACGAGGAGCUUGCUCCUCUGACGUUAGCGGCGGACGGGUGAGUAACACGUGGAUAACCUACCUAUAAGACUGGGAUAACUUCGGGAAACCGGAGCUAAUACCGGAUAAUAUAUUGAACCGCAUGGUUCAAUAGUGAAAGACGGUUUUGCUGUCACUUAUCGAUGGAUCCGCGCCGCAUUAGCUAGUUGGUAAGGUAACGGCUUACCAAGGCAACGAUGCGUAGCCGACCUGAGAGGGUGGUCGGCCACACUGGAACUGAGACGCGGUCCAGAGGACUACGGGAGGCAGCAGUAGGGAAUCUUCCGCAAUGGGCGAAAGCCUGACGGAGCAGCGCCGAGUGAGUGAUGAAGGUCUUCGGAGCGUAAAACUCUGUUAUUAGGGAAGAACAAAUGUGUAAGUAACUAUGCACGUCUUGACGGUACCGAAUCAGAAAGCCACGGCUAACUACGUG